CGAGCUUGGCUGUUUUCUCAACCCCUCCCUUCGAGCUUCACUUCUGUUUGAGGAAAGAUAAUGGCAGCUGACUGGUGUGUCUCUCGGACUCCCAGGUAGGUGUAGGCCUCAAGCCUCGGCCUCAAUUUAUAUCCUCCCGCUCCAGACUGGUUCUACGCAAGUCCGCUGCCUCUCAGACUCCCAGGUGGACUCAAGGAAUACUUGAGAGUAUUCUAUUCCAGCAUGUAGAGCAGCUUACAUUCACUUCCGGCUGUGGACUGGCUCUGGACUACAAAAAGGCUGCUGUCUUCUUUCUCAAGCAAUUGAUCCUUCUCUUCUCAAAGCAAAACCAAAACCCACUUUUUAAAACACGGUCUUCCGGGCAUGGCUUGUUUUUCAGAGCCAUAAAAACCAUGUGACCCCUCCUCUUUGUAGGGUCCACUAGGGUCACAAGGUUUUCAGCCUUUAUUUCCAACUGUUUAAUUACCCUUGUAAAAGGAUGCUUUUUUCAGAAAUAGCAAUCUGAGUCCUGUAUUAACCCUAUAAGGAACAGCAUCUUUUAAAACACAAAUUAUUCCAGAAUGUCUUUAGU